UAGAUUCACUGGAGGUGCCUUUUAAGAGGGCUGAGAUCGGAGUAAGACUUCGGGACUCCUUGAACCUGAUCCAGUUAACACUGGCGUAGGGAAGUGAGCAGAUAGACAG
rnacentral:ncRNA from 2 species